rnacentral:tRNA from 1 species
GAGGUUGUGGCUCAGCGGUAGAGCACACGUAUAGCACGUGUGAGGCACUGGGUUCGAUCCUCAGCACCACA